GAUGAACGCUAGCGAUAGGCCUAACACAUGCAAGUCGAGGGGCAUCACAUGAGGCAGCAAUGCCGAUGGUGGCGACCGGCGCACGGGUGAGUAACACGUAUGCAACCUGCCUUCAACAAGGGCAUAACCCGUUGAAAGACGGACUAAUACCCUAUAAUACAGGGGCCCCGCAUGGGGAUAUUUGUUAAAGAUUUAUCGGUUGAAGAUGGGCAUGCGUUCCAUUAGCUGGUUGGUGGGUAACGGCCCACCAAGGCAACGAUGGAUAGGGGAACUGAGAGGUUUAUCCCCCACACUGGUACUGAGACACGGACCAGACUCCUACGGGAGGCAGCAGUGAGGAAUAUUGGUCAAUGGACGCAAGUCUGAACCAGCCACGUCGCGUGAAGGAAGACGGCCCUACGGGUUGUAAACUUCUUUUAUACGGGAAUAAAGUGCCCCACGCGUGGGGUUUUGCAUGUACCGUAUGAAUAAGGAUCGGCUAACUCCGUGCCAGCAGCCG
rnacentral:rRNA from 1 species